GGCGUAACAAAAAAGCUUGGCUUUUUGAAAAUGGACAUAUAAAAUCUGCACUGGAGUUUAGCUGUGACUGGGACUCAGACAAAGUAAUGCAGGCAAUAAGGACUGCCUUCCAGCCAGUUGUUGAAGGAUGCAGGCUACAGAUUCUGCUGGCAUGCCACACCAAACUAGUUGAGCCAUCACUCACUUCCAAACAGACUUUGAAUGGAGACCUUGUGAAAAAACUGUUUCAUCAGAAGUCAAUUUAUGUCAGACCUGACAAGGUCAUCUUAUGUGAGGACAAUGAAUCAACAUAUUCUGAUGGAGAGAGUAGCCAUACAAGCAGGCAGGAUUUCACAGAAACGUUGAAUACUGACAAAUGUGGUAAAUAUUUCU